UGUGAGCUUUUGCAUUCCAGCCUGGGCGACAAGAGUGAGGCUGUCUCAAAGAAAAAAAAAAAAAAAACCUCAAAGACGGGAAAAGAUAUACAGCUACUGCUUUCUAUUCUGUUUAGGAGAAGCUAUAUUCUAAUUGCUUGAUGAAAGAUAGUGACAGUCUGACAUUGAGCAAUUGCCUUUAGUUAAUAAUGGGUUUAUAAAACCAAAGAUGCUCACUAAGUUCGGAAAAAUUUUAAAGGGAUCACUUAAAUUGUUGUUAGUGUGUGCCUGUUGAAAAUUCAGCUGACCUGUAAUUUUCUGGCCUAGUGUCUGCACUGCUUGGGGAGGAAGACGAAGAGGCACUGCAUUAUUUGACCAGAGUUGAAGUGACAGAAUUUGAAGAUAUUAAAUCAGGUUACAGAAUAGAUUUUUAUUUUGAUGAAAAUCCUUACUUUGAAAAUAAAGUUCUCUCCAAAGAAUUUCAUCUGAAUGAGAGUGG
rnacentral:sRNA from 1 species